rnacentral:rRNA from 1 species
GACGAACGCUGGCGGCGUGCUUAACACAUGCAAGUCGAACGGAAAGGUCCUGCUCUUGCGCGGUGCUCGUGAGGCGCACGGGUGAGAAACACGUGAGUAACCUGCCCUUGUCUUUGGGAUAACUCCUGGAAACUGCGGCUCUUAUCGCAUAGGAGCUCCUGCUGCACGGUGGGGGUUGGUAAGUGUCGGCGGUGGGGGCUGGAUUCGCGGCUUAUCAGCUUGUUGGUGGGGUAGUGGCUGCCCAAGGCUUCGACGGGUAGCCGGCCUGAGAGGGGGACCGGGCUCAAUGGGACUACGAGAGGGACCAGAAGGCUAUCGGCGGCAGUAGGCGGGAAUCUUGCAGAAUGGGGCGAAGCCUGUGGCAGCAGCGUCCGGAGCGGGAUGACGGCCUUCGGGGUGAAAACAGCUUUCGACGGAGACGAAGCGGGAGUGACGGUAAUGGGUAAAGAAGCACCGGCUAACUACGUG